CCAUGUAAACAUUCAUGUAAUUCAAGCAAUUGUUUUAGUAGAGUAAAAGAAAAUGAAAGAAAAUAUUUAUGCUAAAACAGUCUUGUGUCAAUAUAAACAUUUUAUAACGAUAAUGCACACACAGUAUUCAGGUAUUUGUGGAGAUUUCUCUGGACAAAGUCUAACAGAAUACCAAAAUAUCGUGAAA